UUUGGUUUUCAGUUUACAGCUGAGGUAGCAAUGGCUGACACAAUGGCUGACAAACUAGAGACUGAGCCACUGUAGUAUUUUUUUUUAAAGGUUUGUGUAAAGAGA